UACAGAGGGGGCAAGCGUUGUCCGGAAUUACUGGGCGUAAAGGGCGCGUAGGUGGCCUUCUAAGUUGAACGUGAAAUCCCUGGGCUCAACCCAGGAACUGCGUCCAAGACUGGGAGGCUUGAAUCCGGGAGAGGGAUGCGGAAUUCCAGGUGUAGCGGUGAAAUGCGUAGAUAUCUGGAGGAACACCGGUGGCGAAGGCGGCAUCCUGGACCGGUAUUGACACUGAGGCGCGAAAGCCAGGGGAGCAAACGGG
rnacentral:rRNA from 1 species